rnacentral:rRNA from 2 species
AACCAGAAGGCGCAAUGAGAGUGAAGGCACGUUCGGCGUGCUGAGGUGAGAGCUGUCGGUGGCAGCGCAUCAUCGACCGAUCCCAUCCGCUCCCCACGGUGCGGAGGGAAUCGAGUAAGAGUGUACCUGUUGCGACCCGAAAGAUGGUGAACUAUGCCUGAAUAGGGUGAAGCCAGAGGAAACUCUGGUGGAGGCCCGUAGCGAUUCUGACGUGCAAAUCGAUCGUCAAAUUUGGGUAUAGGGGCGAAAGACUAAUCGAACCAUCUAGUAGCUGGUUCCCUCCGAAGUUUCCCUCAGGAUAGCUGUAGCCCAAAGCAGUUUUAUCAGGUAAAGCGAAUGAUUAGAGGUAUCGGGGAAGAAACUUCCUCGACCUAUUCUCAAACUUUAAAUAGGUAAGAAGUCCGACUUGCUCAAUCUGAAGCCGGACACAGAAUGCUGGGUUACCAGUGGGCCAUUUUUGGUAAGCAGAACUGGCGAUGCGGGAUGAACCGAACGCCGAGUUAAGGUGCCAAAGUCGACGCUCAUCAGAUCCCACAAA